UCUAACAGGACUGCCUACGCAAGUAGAGAGGAAGGAGGGGACGACGUCAAGUCAUCAUGGCCCUUACGCCCAGGGCUACACACGUGCUACAAUGGAGAGUACAGAGGGUUGCGAGCCAGUGAUGGUAAGCCAAUCUCAAAAAGCUCUUCUCAGUUCGGAUUGAAGUCUGCAACUCGACUUCAUGAAGCUGGAAUCGCUAGUAAUCGCGCAUCAGCAAUGGCGCGGUGAAUACGUUCCCGGACCUUGUACACACC
rnacentral:rRNA from 12 species